CAGCUGCAGCGUGUCUUUCAAUGUAUUGGUCACGCGUGUUGCACCGCACCCUGCACUUGCAACUCUUACUACCAUGCUUGCAGACCCAUGACGUGCAUAGUAACUAGUCUCACUGUGUUCAUGUAUUACUCCCAUAACACACUAGGAUGACCUGAGGAAUACUAGCACAUGUACCCUGUAGACCCUUUUGAUACAUUUCACUUUCGACCUCCUUUUCAUUUAUCUACACACAUCCUAAUGAGACUUCCUUAGAAUUCCUAAUGGCUGUCUUCCCGGUACCACUUUUACGCCCAUUGCCCACACUGUUAUUCAGCUCCUUCUUCUGCAUAGAAUCAAAUGGCAUUCCUUGUGCAAUGACUGUAGCCCACACAUCUACUUUGACCUUUCUUCUUCUCUCUGCUGAGCUUUGCCGUGACCAUUGCUGUUGCAGCACGUAUGCUGUCUGCCUAUAAAAGCUGCUGUUCACAAUUCUCUAUACGCCAGUUAGAAACUACAGUUCAGUUAGAAACGACAGUUAGAAAGGCCAGUUAGAAGGGCCAGUUAGAACCUUCAGUAAUGAUUAUGUCAGUUUAGAGUUAGAGUCAGAGUUAAUGUUUAAUAAUUAUUAACAGUGUGUUCACUGAGACCCGUCUGCAUUUGCCUCCGAGAGAGACUGCGGCCCGUUACAGAAUUGGUGCCAGCGGUGGGAUUCGUUACAGAAAUGGUGGCAGCGGUGGGAUUCGCUACAGAAAUGGUGGCAGCGGUGGGAUUCGCUACAGAAUUGGUGGCAGCGGUGGUACAAUUUUAUAAUUGCUAGAUUCGAACCCACCUAGUAUCUGUAUUGCAUUGAUGGCAGCGACGCUACAGAAUCGAUGGCAGCGGUAAAUUGUUUUAUUGGUGUAACCGAUACCAGCAUGGCCCAACCUGAUGCGUCAGUCGCCGCUACUCCUUCGCCCGCCACGUCUCCCCCAAGCCCGAAAUGAUGACGGACAGCGUCUCUACCGAUCAAGCUCCAUGUCCAAUGUAAGCUUAUUCCCGAUAUGGCAUUUUCUUUCCUGUCUUCCUUCAGUCUUCCUGUUCUCUUCAGUCUUCCUUUAUGCGAGUGUGUGAAUCCAGUUUAGUUAGGUAGGCGUCCGAUCAUGGUGAGCCACGGUCUAUCUAACUAACCUGGGAUAAUGUGUGUUAGAGUGCCCUUUGUCCAGUUCAGUUUGGAACUGUGAACUAUUUUUAUGGCUCAAACGCCAUGGUGGUACAGCAAGUGUGCUGUGAGUCCUAUUUGGAGGACAAAAUUUUUCCCCUUUGGCCCCGUGAGAUCGUGUGAACCUGGAGUGAUGCUAUUUUAUGAUUUUGUUAUCAGUUCAUUUCUUCUGUCUACUCUCAAAGGUUAUCAUUUCCGAUAUUAUUUUGCCAUAUUCCGGUUGACGCUGUACCAGUAUGAUGCGCUAUCUCCUAUAAUGUUCAAUGAUUAUGUUCGCACCACCUCUCAGUCCUGUGAUAUGCUGCUGCGCUCCAGCCAGUACUUCAAUGUCAGUUGUCCUCAUUGCGUCCGGAUAUCAACCGAGGCUGUUCACGAAUACAUACCUGUAUAUGCACGUCAUCCAUUCUGCCUAUCUUCUUCCGUCGAGGUUAUUCCGACGCGACCAUGCAUGCCGCCCGUGUCUUCUAAUCUCAGUCGAUUGUCGGAGUCCGGCUAUCAACUUAUGUCACUCGCCCAGUCUAGUCUGCGCAUCUCCAUGAUCUUCUAUCAGUGUUCGUCACUUCGUGUUCUGCUACUCCUACUGUAAUCACGAGGGCGUGAUUGUGUUUAAAGAAGGAAGGUGUAGCGUUGGCACGCUAGUAACUUACACAGCUGCAGCGUGUCUUUCAAUGUAUUGGUCACGCGUGUUGCACCGCACCCUGCACUUGCAACUCUUACUACCAUGCUUGCAGACCCAUGACGUGCAUAGUAACUAGUCUCACUGUGUUCAUGUAUUACUCCCAUAACACACUAGGAUGACCUGAGGAAUACUAGCACAUGUACCCUGUAGACCCUUUUGAUACAUUUCACUUUCGACCUCCUUUUCAUUUAUCUACACACAUCCUAAUGAGACUUCCUUAGAAUUCCUAAUGGCUGUCUUCCCGGUACCACUUUUACGCCCAUUGCCCACACUGUUAUUCAGCUCCUUCUUCUGCAUAGAAUCAAAUGGCAUUCCUUGUGCAAUGACUGUAGCCCACACAUCUACUUUGACCUUUCUUCUUCUCUCUGCUGAGCUUUGCCGUGACCAUUGCUGUUGCAGCACGUAUGCUGUCUGCCUAUAAAAGCUGCUGUUCACAAUUCUCUAUACGCCAGUUAGAAACUACAGUUCAGUUAGAAACGACAGUUAGAAAGGCCAGUUAGAAGGGCCAGUUAGAACCUUCAGUAAUGAUUAUGUCAGUUUAGAGUUAGAGUCAGAGUUAAUGUUUAAUAAUUAUUAACAGUGUGUUCACUGAGACCCGUCUGCAUUUGCCUCCGAGAGAGACUGCGGCCCGUUACAGAAUUGGUGCCAGCGGUGGGAUUCGUUACAGAAAUGGUGGCAGCGGUGGGAUUCGCUACAGAAAUGGUGGCAGCGGUGGGAUUCGCUACAGAAUUGGUGGCAGCGGUGGUACAAUUUUAUAAUUGCUAGAUUCGAACCCACCUAGUAUCUGUAUUGCAUUGAUGGCAGCGACGCUACAGAAUCGAUGGCAGCGGUAAAUUGUUUUAUUGGUGUAACCGAUACCAGCAUGGCCCAACCUGAUGCGUCAGUCGCCGCUACUCCUUCGCCCGCCACGUCUCCCCCAAGCCCGAAAUGAUGACGGACAGCGUCUCUACCGAUCAAGCUCCAUGUCCAAUUCCUGUGAUAUGCUGCUGCGCUCCAGCCAGUACUUCAAUGUCAGUUGUCCUCAUUGCGUCCGGAUAUCAACCGAGGCUGUUCACGAAUACAUACCUGUAUAUGCACGUCAUCCAUUCUGCCUAUCUUCUUCCGUCGAGGUUAUUCCGACGCGACCAUGCAUGCCGCCCGUGUCUUCUAAUCUCAGUCGAUUGUCGGAGUCCGGCUAUCAACUUAUGUCACUCGCCCAGUCUAGUCUGCGCAUCUCCAUGAUCUUCUAUCAGUGUUCGUCACUUCGUGUUCUGCUACUCCUACUGUAAUCACGAGGGCGUGAUUGUGUUUAAAGAAGGAAGGUGUAGCGUUGGCACGCUAGUAACUUACACAGCUGCAGCGUGUCUUUCAAUGUAUUGGUCACGCGUGUUGCACCGCACCCUGCACUUGCAACUCUUACUACCAUGCUUGCAGACCCAUGACGUGCAUAGUAACUAGUCUCACUGUGUUCAUGUAUUACUCCCACACACUAGGAUGACCUGAGGAAUACUAGCACAUGUACCCUGUAGACCCUUUUGAUACAUUUCACUUUCGACCUCCUUUUCAUUUAUCUACACACAUCCUAAUGAGACUUCCUUAGAAUUCCUAAUGGCUGUCUUCCCGGUACCACUUUUACGCCCAUUGCCCACACUGUUAUUCAGCUCCUUCUUCUGCAUAGAAUCAAAUGGCAUUCCUUGUGCAAUGACUGUAGCCCACACAUCUACUUUGACCUUUCUUCUUCUCUCUGCUGAGCUUUGCCGUGACCAUUGCUGUUGCAGCACGUAUGCUGUCUGCCUAUAAAAGCUGCUGUUCACAAUUCUCUAUACGCCAGUUAGAAACUACAGUUCAGUUAGAAACGACAGUUAGAAAGGCCAGUUAGAAGGGCCAGUUAGAACCUUCAGUAAUGAUUAUGUCAGUUUAGAGUUAGAGUCAGAGUUAAUGUUUAAUAAUUA